AUGCACAGAGAGGAUUUUGCUUGCAUUUGUGGAAAGUUUGAAAAAGAUGGCGUUGUGUGCAGCCACAUACUUAGGGUAUUAACACACCUCAACUUGCCGGUGCUACCCGAGAAGUACUACAUUGAUAGAUGGAGAUCCAAGCAAAGAAAAGACAUUAGAAAACUCAGGUACGGCGUCCCUGAGGAGCUAACAGCAGGGGACCAUCACCUUAGAUACAUGUUGCUGUCUAGCAGACUGAAUGAAAUGGCUUCGGAUGUUGCGUCAUCCAAUGAAAAAUAUAUGUAUGUGGUUGGUGAAAGUGUGAGGAUUGAGGCAAAGCUAGAUGAGAUGACUUUGGCAGAGGAGCAGCAAAAAAUGCAAGACAAGCAUGUUGAGAGAGCUCCAGCCCCUACUAUGGUCAUGCCGCACCCUGAUGGGUACGGGGAAAGUCUAAAGGAUCCUGAUGUUAUUGCUUCGAAGGGGCGUCCACAAGAGCGUUACAAGACAUUUUUGGAGAAAAUACAGGCAAAACAACAAAUUGGUUGCAGUCAUUGUGGUCAGCAUGACCAUGUUUUUGCUUCGUGCACAAACAAACACAUCCCCAGGUCCCAAUUUCACAAGAAGACUACAGUCGGCAAGCAACCAACAGGAGUCCCUGGUGCUUCAAAGGAUAGUAGUAGGAAGAGUCAAACAGGAGGGGGGCCAAAAGCAGGUGACAAACGGAGUGCACAGAAGGAUACUACUAGUGCGCCUAGUGCCUCAAAGGGGAUGCCUAGCAAGAAACAAACAGGAGGGAAGCAAAAAACAGGCGAGAAGCGGAGCGCACGAAAAGAUACUACUGGUGCAUCUUGA
rnacentral:rRNA from 1 species